rnacentral:rRNA from 1 species
CUACGUAGGGUGCGAGCGUUGUCCGGAAUUAUUGGGCGUAAAGAGCUUGUAGGCGGUUUGUCGCGUCUGCUGUGAAAAUCCGAGGCUCAACCUCGGACUUGCAGUGGGUACGGGCAGACUAGAGUGUGGUAGGGGAGACUGGAAUUCCUGGUGUAGCGGUGGAAUGCGCAGAUAUCAGGAGGAACACCGGCGGCGAAGGCGGGUCUCUGGGCCGUAACUGACGCUGGAGGAGCGAAAGCGUGGGGAGCGAACAGG